AUGCCCUGCAGCGCAAUGAAUAGCGCGCGCGUUGGACUUCUAAUCCUAAGGACGUAGAUUUGAAUCCUACCUGGGAUG